rnacentral:rRNA from 1 species
GAUGAACGCUGGCGGCGUGCCUAAUACAUGCAAGUAGAACGCUGAAGCUUGGUGCUUGCACCGAGCGGAUGAGUUGCGAACGGGUGAGUAACGCGUAGGUAACCUGCCUCUUAGCGGGGGAUAACUAUUGGAAACGAUAGCUAAUACCGCAUAAAAGUCGACAUUGCAUGAUGUUGACUUGAAAGGUGCAAUUGCAUCACUAAGAGAUGGACCUGCGUUGUAUUAGCUAGUUGGUGAGGUAACGGCUCACCAAGGCGACGAUACAUAGCCGACCUGAGAGGGUGAUCGGCCACACUGGGACUGAGACACGGCCCAGACUCCUACGGGAGGCAGCAGUAGGGAAUCUUCGGCAAUGGGGGCAACCCUGACCGAGCAACGCCGCGUGAGUGAAGAAGGUUUUCGGAUCGUAAAGCUCUGUUGUAAGAGAAGACA